rnacentral:rRNA from 1 species
GAUGAACGCUGGCGGCGUGCCUAAUACAUGCAAGUCGAGCGAACGGACGAGAAGCUUGCUUCUCUGAUGUUAGCGGCGGACGGGUGAGUAACACGUGGAUAACCUACCUAUAAGACUGGGAUAACUUCGGGAAACCGGAGCUAAUACCGGAUAAUAUUUUGAACCGCAUGGUUCAACAGUGAAAGACGGUCUUGCUGUCACUUAUAGAUGGAUCCGCGCCGCAUUAGCUAGUUGGUAAGGUAACGGCUUACCAAGGCAACGAUGCAUAGCCGACCUGAGAGGGUGAUCGGCCACACUGGAACUGAGACACGGUCCAGACUCCUACGGGAGGCAGCAGUAGGGAAUCUUCCGCAAUGGGCGAAAGCCUGACGGAGCAACGCCGCGUGAGUGAAGAAGGUCUUCGGAUCGUAAAACUCUGUUAUUAGGGAAGAACAAAUGUGUAAGUAACUGUGCACGUCUUGACGGUACCUAAUCAGAAAGCCACGGCUAACUACGUG